rnacentral:tRNA from 2 species
GGGCGAUUAGCUCAGCUGGUUAGAGCGCUGGUGUCACAUACCAGAGGUCACAGGUUCGAGUCCCGUAUCGCCCA